rnacentral:sRNA from 1 species
UGUUAUACCAGGGUCUGCUGCGACCCCCAA